rfam:Oryza sativa Japonica Group DNA, chromosome 7, cultivar: Nipponbare, complete sequence.
UUUAAGUGUACUUGUGAGCUUUUAUGUUUAACGUUUGUCCGUUCAUAUUAUUUAAAAUUCUUCUAUAAUUAUUAUUUUUAUUGUUAUUAGAUUGAUGAUAAAGCAAGAAUAAUACUUUAUGCAUAACUUAUUUUUUAAAUUUUUUUAUAUAUAUUUUUUAAAUAAGGCGAUCGGUGAAACGUUUGACACAAAACCCUAACUACACUUUAA